AAGAGAAGAAGAAUAACAACUCCAUUAGAGUUACAGCUAGCCUCAACUCCACGAACUCCACACUUCAACAUUUCAACUCCACGAACUCCAUACUUCACUCUCGAUCUAGAAGAAGAAGAAGAAGAAAUCGUUUCCCUCGGAAAAGAUUCAAGGAACAAUCAAUCCAACUCAGAAAUUGUUAACCAAGGUUAUCUUGAUUAGUUGGUGAAGCAUGUUAUUGGACUAGAGACAGGACAACUAGUUGCCAUGGAAUAAAUAUUCAAGGCUUUGUAUUUGCCAUUGCCACCAGUUCUACUUGUUGCAUUUUUACCACCAAUUUCCAGUCAGUAAUACUGCUAGUCUGCUACUUGUUACUUGGAUUCUUUUACUACUUCUUAGUUCUUACUACUGUUUAAUUGUGCAUGUGAAUGUAUGAGUGACUGUUUGUCAGUCUUUGACUGUUAUGAUACUUGUUACUUUUUCAGUUUUUUAAGACUUGGUAUUUGAUAA